UUCAGUGCCCGAGUUGUAAUUUGUAGAAUUUGUCUUUGAUUAGGUCCUUGUCUAUGUUCCUUGGAACAGGACGUCAUAGAGGGUGAGAAUCCCGUUUGGCGAGGAUACCUUUUCUCUGUAAGACUUUUUCGAAGAGUCGAGUUGUUUGGGAAUGCAGCUCAAAGUGGGUGGUAAAUUCCAUCUAAAGCUAAAUAUUGGCGAGAGACCGAUAGCGAACAAGUACAGUGAUGGAAAGAUGAAAAGAACUUUGAAAAGAGAGUGAAAAAGUACGUGAAAUUGUUGAAAGGGAAGGGCAUUUGAUCAGACAUGGU
rnacentral:rRNA from 1 species